UGAAAUUCAAAAACAAAAGUGAAGCAGAUUUGGGCAGCAAGAAAAUGUACAGAGACCUGAUGCACAAAUUAACCCCUUAAGGGCAAAACACGUGGGCCCCGCCACUUUAAAAACUAUUGAAUGGUUCUGCAGGACCCAUUUUAUUUCUUAUUCCCAUUGUUUUUCAAACAAAAAGAAGUAGAAUGCUUCUUCUUCCCUGCUCCCUUUCCAUUUUUCUUUGCUAGGAAUUCAACCUAGCUUGCGCCACCCUGGAGGAUCAUCGGUGCCACGCACCUCCACCCUAUCGCCGGUUCACGGAUCAAGACCAGAUAUAGCCGCGAAAAUCUCGGAAUCGAGAGGCGUGGCGGAGUGGGAUGCUGGUGAGAGGCGUGCGGCGCGAGGACUCAUGCAACAACUUUGAGUCUCUGUUCGUUUGGGCCUUGUUUGGGUCUAUUUUUGUGCCUAUUUUUCUUGUAUUGGAUCAUGGCAUGAAUUUGGUCCUACACUAUAAACUUAUGUAUAGUGUAGGAAAUAAUAGCAAAAUUUAAAUUAUAAUAUAAGGGUUCUAGAGGGAUUUUUACCACAA